rnacentral:rRNA from 1 species
CAGGCCUAACACAUGCAAGUCGAACGAGACCUUCGGGUCUAGUGGCGCACGGGUGCGUAACGCGUGGGAAUCUGCCCUUGGGUUCGGAAUAACAGCGAGAAAUUGCUGCUAAUACCGGAUGAUGACGUAAGUCCAAAGAUUUAUCGCCCAAGGAUGAGCCCGCGUAGGAUUAGCUAGUUGGUGAGGUAAAGGCUCACCAAGGCGACGAUCCUUAGCUGGUCUGAGAGGAUGAUCAGCCACACUGGGACUGAGACACGGCCCAGACUCCUACGGGAGGCAGCAGUGGGGAAUAUUGGACAAUGGGCGCAAGCCUGAUCCAGCCAUGCCGCGUGAGUGAUGAAGGCCUUAGGGUUGUAAAGCUCGUUCAGUGGGGAAGAUAAUGAC